ensembl:piRNA 21ur-10899 ncRNA
UUUCAGAUCCUUGUACUACAU